rnacentral:rRNA from 1 species
GCGUCUUGUGUGGCUGGGGCGUUGGUGAUAGGUGGGGUGGGGGGGUUGGCUUGAGUGGGUGGGGGUAUGUUGUUCGUGGGGGGUUUGGCGCGACGGUGGAGAAAACUGAGGGGUUACCCCUGUGCCGGAGUGCGAUACGGGCAGGCUAGUGGUAUGCAGAGGUGGACGGAGUUCCUGGUGUAGCGGUGACAUGCGCAGAUAUCAGGAGGAACACCGGUGGCGAAGGCGGUUCUCUGGGCAUUACCUGACGCUGAGGAGCGAAAGUGUGGGGAGCGAACAGGAUUAGAUACCCUGGUAGUC